GAAAGAUGAAAAGAACUUUGAAAAGAGAGUUAAACAGUACGUGAAAUUGUUGAAAGGGAAACGAUUGAAGCCAGUCGUACCUUCGGGUAAUCAGCCUUUCGGGUGCGAUUCUGUGGAGUGUGAGGAGCUUAACACCUUCAUGCUUUGCAUAUUUGUGCUCUUGGGUGUACUUGCUCGUGUGGUUGGUUAACAUCAAUUUUGAUUAUCAUAAAAUGAUUGGAGGAAUGUAGCUUCGAUCUCGUAUUGAAGUGUUAUA
rnacentral:rRNA from 1 species